AGCGAACGCUGGCGGCAGGCCUAACACAUGCAAGUCGAACGAAGUCUUCGGACUUAGUGGCGGACGGGUGAGUAACACGUGGGAACGUACCUUUUGGUUCGGAACAACUCAGGGAAACUUGUGCUAAUACCGAAUGUGCCCUUCGGGGGAAAGAUUUAUCGCCUUUAGAGCGGCCCGCGUCUGAUUAGCUAGUUGGUGAGGUAAUGGCUCACCAAGGCUACGAUCAGUAGCUGGUCUGAGAGGAUGGCCAGCCACAUUGGGACUGAGACACGGCCCAAACUCCUACGGGAGGCAGCAGUGGGGAAUCUUGCGCAAUGGGCGAAAGCCCGACGCAGCCAUGCCGCGUGAAUGAUGAAGGUCUUAGGAUUGUAAAAUUCUUUUACCAGGGACGAUAAUGACGGUACCUGGAGAAAAAGCCCCGGCUAACUUCGUGCCAGCCGCCGCCGUAACAC
rnacentral:rRNA from 1 species